rnacentral:lncRNA from 1 species
CAUGUUCUUCACCUUCACUGGCAGAUAUAAAGGAUUCUGGCUCAGAACUGGAGUCAGAUUCUUGUGCUUAGCUUUCUUUCCUUUGGCUAGCUUUCAAUCUCUCAUUUAAAACCUUUCUCAAAACUCCAUAUGCUACAGUUUUUCUAGCCAACAUUUUCUGCCUUCGAAACCUAGGUUUUGGGGACUCACUCGGAGGAGUAGAUGAGGAUGUAUUUGUUGGAGUUGGUGGUGCGGGAGUACCAUGAUUAUCUUGGGGGUUAGAC